CUUGAGCAAAGUUGAACCGACAGCGACUGAGAAGAGGCCAGAGAAACCAAAGAGACAGCGUGUGGAUACUUAGAAGAUAAAAUCAUAAGCAAAACUGAUAUGGAAAAAAAGCAAAGUGAUCAAAGUUGUUCAAAUAAAAGUGAAGAAAAUACACCAGAAAGCAAGCCUGCUGAGAAACAGGAAGCAGAAAAUCAACAUCAGGAAGAGAAGUUUGUAUUUUUAUCAACAUUGCUGUGGAUGAUUUGGAACUUUCUUAAUGUCAUUUUUCUGAUCCACAGUAAUAAUCCUGACCAAAACAGUGAUAAACAAAGCAGUGUUGAAGACAUGAAAGAAGAAACCAACAAAGAGCAAAGCG